rnacentral:rRNA from 1 species
GGGUGGAAUGCCGCGUGUAGCAGUGAAAUGCGUAGAGAUGCGGCGGAACACCGAUGGCGAAGGCAGCCCCCUGGGAUGACACUGACGCUCAUGCACGAAAGCGUGGGGAGCAAACAGGAUUAGAUACCCUGGUAGUCCACGCCCUAAACGAUGUCAAUUAGCUGUUGGGGGUUAGAAUCCUUGGUAGCGUAGCUAACGCGUGAAAUUGACCGCCU